rnacentral:lncRNA from 1 species
GCUUCAUCCUUUAGUGCUAAGAUACUGCUUUUGAAUUUAAUGCAGGAGAAACUUAUACUGCCUUAUCUACUGCAUACUGCAAAGACGUGGCCAGCAACAUUUCUGCCAAUGCAAGACUUUGGGAAAAAUGUCUGUAUGUAAAUGUAUAGUUACUUAUUUUAUGUUAACUUGGUUCUUCAUAGCUAAGAAUUAAUCAAGGCUGCAAAGCUAUGUGAGAGCAAUAGUUUCUUUCCAUUUGGAAAGAAACUAUAAGAAACUUAGACUUAAACUAAAAGAAACUUAUUUGUAAGGCCUUAUGUGUAGUUAUAUACAGAUAUAGCUGAU